GUGUCAGUAUAUCUGUCUGUGUGCCAGUAUGUCGUGUGUGUGUGUGUGUCAGUAUAUCAGUCUGUGUGUGUCAGUGUAUGUGCCUGUGUGUGUGUGUCAGUAUUUCUCAGUGUAUGUGGGUGUCAGUAUAUCUGUCAGUGUAUGUGUGUCAGUAUGUUGAUCAGUGUAUGUGUCUGUGUGUGUGUGUGUCAGUAUGUCGGUAUAUGUGUCUGUGUGUCAGAAUGUCUGUAUAUGUGCCUGUGUCAGUAUGUCUGUCAGUACGUCUACCAGUGUAUGUGUCUGUGUGUGUGUCAAUAUAUGUACCUGUGUCAGUGUGUCUGUCAGUGUAUGUGCCUGUUUAUCUGUAUGUAGUCAGUGUAUGUAUCUGUGUAUCUGCUUGUGCGUCAGAGUGUGUAC
rnacentral:lncRNA from 1 species